rnacentral:rRNA from 1 species
UACGUAGGCAGCGAGCGUUGUUCGGAAUUACUGGGCGUAAAGCGCGCGUAGGCGGCUUUGUAAGUUAGAGGUGAAAGCCUGGAGCUCAACUUCAGAAUUGCCUUUAAGACUGCAUCGCUUGAAUCUGGCAGAGGGGGGUAGAAUUCCGACGUGUAGCAGUGAAAUGACGUAGAGAUGUGGAGGAACACCGAUGGCGAAGGCAGCCCCCUGGGUCAAGAUUGACGCUCAUGCACGAAAGCGUGGGGAGCAAACGGG